UUGUUGAAGGCCCUUGUAACUCUGUGCCUAUUCCUGACGGGGCAGCUCUAUCAGCAUUUCAGUACUUCGAAAACGUCAGAAAUUUCCUUGUGGCUGUGGAGGAAUUGGGGCUUCCAACCUUUGAAGCCUCUGAUUUGGAACAGGGAACCAAAUUUUGAGUCCUUGUAACCUAAUAAGGACGCUUAAAAUUUUGAACAGCUCGGCCCUUGGCUAUAAUGAGAAAUGUUUAGAAGCCUUCUCUCCUUUUGAGACGUGAACAAAAUAAACAAAGAAAACAGAAGAACCCCUUCUGCUCUCCACUUCGUCUUCUCCGGUUCUCUCUCUCGAUCGAGUGAGAGCUAUAUUCAUGAAAUCACCUCCGAAUCCUAGAUCAGCGACCAUUCAACAUCGAACCCCUUGUCAUCUCCGUGUAUGCAUAAAAUCUUCUCUUCUGCACACACAUGCUGCCAAAUCCCUUGUUUGUUUCUGGUUUCAGCUAGAGCAAAUGGAGCAGCAACUUGAGAAAAUUCUUGAUUUUGUACAGGUAUUUGUUAAAUAUGUUCUUUCAGGGUGUGUAUUCAUAAUAUUGAAAACAUAAGAGGAUUUAAUUUUUCUUUAGGGGUUUGGAUCUAAUGAUUGAUACAAUCUAUUAUAA